rnacentral:rRNA from 1 species
UACGUAGGGGGCAAGCGUUGUCCGGAAUCAUUGGGCGUAAAGAGCGUGUAGGCGGCCAGACAGGUCCGUUGUGAAAACUGGAGGCUUAACCUUCAGACGUCGAUGGAAACCGUCUGGCUAGAGUCCGGAAGAGGAGAGUGGAAUUCCUGGUGUAGCGGUGAAAUGCGCAGAUAUCAGGAAGAACACCCGUGGCUAAGGCGGUUCUCUAGUACGGUACUGACGCUGAGACGCGAAAGCGUGGGGAGCAAACAGG